rnacentral:rRNA from 1 species
ACGGGUGAGUAACAUAUCGGAACGUACCGAGCAGUGGGGGAUAACUAAUCGAAAGAUUAGCUAAUACCGCAUAUUUUCUGAGGAAGAAAGCAGGGGACCUUUGGGCCUUGCGCUGUUUGAGCGGCCGAUAUCUGAUUAGCUAGUUGGUGGGGUAAAGGCCUACCAAGGCGACGAUCAGUAGCGGGUCUGAGAGGAUGAUCCGCCACACUGGGACUGAGACACGGCCCAGACUCCUACGGGAGGCAGCAGUGGGGAAUUUUGGACAAUGGGCGCAAGCCUGAUCCAGCCAUGCCGCGUGUCUGAAGAAGGCCUUCGGGUUGUAAAGGACUUUUGUCAGGGAAGAAAAGGGCGGGGUUAAUACCCCUGUCUGAUGACGGUACCUGAAGAAUAAGCACCGGCUAACUACGUGCCAGCAGCCGCGGUAAUACGUAGGUGCGAGCGUUAAUCGGAAUUACUGGGGCGUAAGCGGGGCGCAGACGGUUACUUAAGCAGAUGUGAAAUCCCGGGGCUCAACCUGGGACUGGCGUCUGACUGGGUGGACUAGAAGUGUGUCAGAGGGAGGUAGAUUUCCACGGUGUAGCAGUGAAAUGGCGUAGAGAUGUGGAGAAUACCGAUGGCUGAAGCAAGCCUCCUGGGAUACACUGGACGUCAUGCCGAAAGCGUGGGUAACACAGGAAUAAGAAUACCCUGG